GCCGGAAGUGGGCAGGGUUUGCAUGGAGGCGGGGCUUUGUUGGCAAACCUGUCUGGCUUUUUGAGAGCUUUGGAGCCACCAUAAGAGAAGACCAUCAUGCUGAAGAGGCCACAUUCUGGACAACAGAGCCAGCCUAGCCCAGUGAUCUAGUCAUCCCUGCCAUUGUGAGUGAAGCUGUCUUGAACCCUCCAAACUUCUCAUUAACCAGCAGAAGAUACUCAAAGGAAGAUGGAGCCACAGAACAAAAAUUAAGUUCAAGGCCCUGUUAGAAAAACAUGGACUCAAAGUAAAGAUGAAGGACUGUAAAGCCUUUUGUUAUGAGUUCAGAAAGAGAUAAAGCCUUGUAAAAACAA